GACGAACGCUGGCGGCGUGCUUAACACAUGCGAGUCGAACGGUGAAGGGGUCUGCUUUUGUGGGCCCUGGAUGAGUGGCGAACGGGUGAGUAACACGUGAGUAACCUGCCCCCUUCUUCUGGAUAACCGCAUGAAAGUGUGGCUAAUACGGGAUAUUCUGGGUCUGUCGCAUGAUGGGUCUGGGAAAGAUUGCGCCUUUGGGUGUUUUUGGUGGGGGAUGGGCUCGCGGCCUAUCGGCUUGUUGGUGGGGUGAUGGCCUACCAAGGCGGUGACGGGUAGCCGGCCUGAGGGGGUGGACGGUCACACUGGGACUGAGGCACGGCCCAGACUCGUACGGGAGGCAGCAGUGGGGAAUAUUGCACAAUGGGCGCAAGCCUGAUGCAGCGACGCCGCGUGAGGGAUGGAGGCCUUCGGGUUGUAAACCUCUUUCGCCAGUGAAGCAGGCCUGCUCCUUGUGGGUGGGUUGACGGUAGCUGGAUAAGAAGCGCCGGCUAACUACGUG
rnacentral:rRNA from 1 species